UGCUAGAUGCUUCCUGCCCUCAAACAUUGGAGUCCAACUUCUUCAGUUUUGGAACUCAGACUGGCUCUCCUUACUCCUCAGCCUGCAGAUGGCCUAUUGUGGGACCUUGUGAUUGUUGUCUUGCUCUGCCAUGCUGGAGUACAAUGGCAAUCAUGGCUUAACUCAGCCUCAACUUCCUGGACACAACUGAUCCUCCUGCCUCAACCUCCCAAGUAGCUGGAACUACAGUUGUUUCAUGGACACUGGCCAGUCUACAAGCAGAGCACUCUCAUGGGGAGCACCAGAUGAGUUCCAGCCGCAGUUCUUUUAUAAGCUUUAAGUGCCUCAUGAAGACGCGAGGAUCUCUUCCAAGUGCAACCUGGUCACAUCAGGGCACAUUCAGCAGCAGAAGUCUGUUUCCAGUAUAGUCCUUGGUAUGGCUAAAUUCCACUGUCCCUUUCUCAGCAGUCAAUAAUCCAUGAUAAAUUCUGUACAACACUGUAGUCAAUAACAGCAGCACCAGACAGCAUAUUAAUUCUUUUACCAUAAAUUUGUGUGUAAUUA
rnacentral:lncRNA from 10 species